UUCCAGACUCCUACGGGAGGCAGCAGUGAGGAAUAUUGGUCAAUGGGCUUACGCCUGAACCAGCCAAGUCGCGUGAGGGAAGACUGCCCUAUGGGUUGUAAACCUCUUUUGUCAGGGAGCAAUUGGCGCUACGUGUAGCGUUAUCGAGAGUACCUGAAGAAAAAGCAUCGGCUAACUCCGUGCCAGCAGCCGCGGUAAUACGUAGGGGGCAAGCGUUAUCCGGAUUUACUGGGUGUAAAGGGGGCGCAGACGGCAGCGCAAGCCAGGAGUGAAAGCCCGGGGCCCAACCCCGGGACUGCUCUUGGAACUGCGCGGCUGGAGUGCAGGAGGGGCAGGCGGAAUUCCUGGUGUAGCGGUGAAAUGCGUAGAUAUUAGGAGGAACACCAGUGGCGAAGGCGGCUUACUGGACUGUAACUGACGUUGAGGCUCGAAAGCGUGGGGAGCAAACAGGAUUAGAUACCCCCGUA
rnacentral:rRNA from 1 species